rnacentral:lncRNA from 1 species
UUUAAGCCAUUAAUUCAAUAAGAAAUCUCAUAAUAAAGGUCUAAAUGACCAGUGCAGAAAUAUAACACAAGCCCAACAUUGGGGUGUGACAAGUCACGAGCAUCUACUAAGGUCUGAAUACAACGAAGAGUAAAAAUAUACUAAAAACAGUCUAAGAAAUACAAGAGGGAGAAGAUAGGGCUGCGAACGUUGGUCAGCUAUCUUGCCAACUCCGAUGACUCUGCCACUGAGCAAUCAACACCCGCUACCGGGUUCAGAAAUACCUGAAUCUGCAUAUGAGGUGCAUGGAGUAAUGUGGGUACGCCAACUCAGUAAGUAAUAAAAGUAAUUGAAUGCUGAGUAGUAAGAAAACACGUAAACCACGUCAUAGCACUAUAGCAAAUACAAUACAUUUCCAAAACAGUACAUGAAUUAGUAACAACUUGUUGCGGUGUGCAGCUCGAUCCAAUAAUAUCCUCACAACACAGGCCCUCGCCCUCACUCAGUCAGAAAUUUAUCAAGCCACUCGGGCAACAAUAAAACAUGAUACUCAGCCCAAAAUAUCAUUUAAAAUAUCAAAACAAAGUAAAUACAGCUGAGUUGUGAAAAUAGUAAAGCACAACAUGACUGACCGAGUAUAGAUAUUAAUAAAAAUAGUGAGGAAUAGUAGUAAAAAGACCCUAAGGGUCCAAAACAGUUGGCACAAGGCCCAAAUAUGGCAUUCAGCCCAAAACAUGGUAAUACUUUCCAAAACACAAUGAUAUCAAAUAAUUUUCAAUCAAAUAAGCGACUUAAUAGUCAUAAGGGACGGACCAAGGCACAAUCUCCAAUGGUGCACGACCACAUGCUCUCCAUCUAGCGUACGUGUCACCUCAAAGUAGUACAACGAUGUGAAAUCUGGGGUUUCAUACCCUCAGGACAAUACAAUCAUUACUUACCUCAAUCCGGAUGAAAUUCUACUCCAUAAUGCCUUUGCCGCUUGACUCAGCCUCCAAAUGCUCUGAAUCUAACCAAAAUCAGCAUAUUAUCAUCAAUAUACGCUAAAGGAAUGAAUUCCCUAUGAAAAUUAUCAAAUUAGAUCAAAAAUCGAGAAUUUGGCUCAAACCUGGCCUCGAGGCCCAUGCUUCGGGAUUCGACGAAACUCAACAACCCAUUCAACCACUAGUCCAACCAUACCAAAAUUACUAAAUUCCAAUAACAAUUCGGCCUCCAAAUCUUCAAAUCUUAUUUUCAAAUUCCUAUGUCCAAAUCCCUAAAUUGCACCUAAAAAACAUGUAAUCUAGUCGGAUUAUUCGAUGAUAAUUCAAUAUUAUGGAGUAUAAAUGAUCACAAGUGACUUACCUCAAGAUUUUUGAUGAUUUCUUGCUCAAAAAUCGCCCUAAGCUGUGUUCUUUCACAAAAAAAAGUCAAAAUGAGCUAAAAACAGAGCAGCAUUAAUAAACCAGAUUCUAGUCGCUAAGACCUAAUUCCGGUCGCUUAAAGUGGUCCAAUCUAUCGCUAAAGCUGCACACCAGAUCUGAUGCACCGGUAGUCUUUAAUUUUACUAAAAAUAUUCUAACUCCAUCAUACGAAUUCAGAAUUCGAUGAUUCUUGUUCCUAUGAGUGACAAAUAAUAAUAUGAACAUACUCCUUCAAUCAAAACUCAAUUCGGAGCUCAUUUGCUCAGUGCGAUACCCAUUUUUCUCGUUAAACAGUUAAUUCAUGAUUCGCGUCAAAAACCCAAUUGCGACUUUAUGAAAUUAGACCAAACUUUCCAGAUCACUCCUAUAAUUCAUUAUCAAAAUUUUGGAAGUCUCGAAAUCAAAUUUCAAUCUCUAGAACUAAAAAGUGGACCUUUGGAUCAUUAAAUGCUUAUGCUCAAAAUGCCAAAAUCUUAAAAAAACUCUUCUAAAACUUAUCCGAGCCUCAUGGGACCCUAACCAAACAUGCCAACACACCUCAUAACAUCAGUCAAACUUGUUCCAACUUUUGGAACGCUCAAAACAACAUCAAAGCAUCGAAUUACCCUCAGAUUCAAGCCUAAGAAUUCCAAAAACAUCCGAAUUUCGAAUUCGAUCAAAAAGUUUAUCAAACCUCGUCCGAAUGACCUAAAAUUUUGCACACAUGUCACAAAUGACACAAUGGAACUAAUCCAAUUUUUGGAAUUCCAUUCCAACCCCGAUAUCAAAAUUUCCACUGCCGACCGAAAAAUACCAAAUUUCUAAUUUCGCCAAUUCGAGCCUAAAUCUAACACGGACCUCAAAAAUACAUUCCGGACGCACUCCCAAGUCCAAAAUUACCUAAUGGAGCUAACCAAAUCAAAUGAAUCCAAAUCCGAGAUCGAAUACUAAAAAGUCAAAACUUGGUCAAAUCUUUGAAACGUAAAGCUUCAAACUGAGAAUUGUUCUUCCAAAUCUGUUGUGAUUAUCCUGAAAACCAAAAUCGAUGAUUUACAUAGUCAUAAUACAUCACACGGGACUAGUCAUGCCUGAAAGCUGGCGAGCGAAGUAAAAAAGCUCAAAACAACCGGUCGGGUCGUUAUAGGGUAAAACUUAAGCAUACUGAUCAAAGUAGUAAACAUGUUGAACAAGUAAAUACAUAAUCAGUUAAACUAGUGCGUAAAUAGGAAUGGAUUUAGCAACUAUGGACCACAUAGAUUUUAAUUUCAGAAUGAUAUUGAAAUAAGAACAUACCAGUUAAGGAAGCAUAGUGCAAAAAGUAAAGCAGCUAGAGUUCCACAGUCUAGCCUUGGCUUUCAGCCAGCUAGACGAGCAAUGAGCACAAGUAGCAGAAAGAGAGAUGAGAGAAAGUUUUAGUGUGUGUGUAUUUUUGAACUACUGUCCGUGUUUUUGAGAGGUAAAACAAGAGUGUAUAUAUAACAUUUAGGGAGUAGAGCAAAUAAGGUAAAAAUAAUCAGAAUUCAGUAAAUUAGGGGUCAAUCAAAUAAUCACAGAAUCAAUUCAUGUAAGGGAGUCCGAAAUAGACCCCUUAAUUAAGGCCAAUCACUUAACGAUCACAUCAAUAGGAGGUUAAUUAGGGUAUGGAAUCCAAAUCAUACCAAAUAGGGAAUCAGUAAGAAUCCCAAAACCUUGUGGAUAACUUAUUAAGGCAAAUGUGAUCAAUUAAAGUCACAAAUAAGUGAACAAAUAAGAUCUGUGCACACAGAUCUUAAAAGGGCAAAAAUUCGGAAAUAAUUACUAAAACCUUCAAAAGAAUACAGAUUUUUUGGAAAGAAUUACUUAGAUUCCAUAAGUAGAAAUUAAAUAAGUAAAGCUUCACAGAAAUAUAGAAUUCAGCAAGAAAAACAGGUUCGAACCAUAAAUAGAGAUUAAUUAGGGUAAGAUCCCAAAGAAAUACGGGAUUUUAAUCAAGGAAAACAUCUAAGCCCAAUAAUGGAGUAAACUAAUACGACUGGUAUCACAGAAAUAACAAAGUAUCGAAACAAAACUGAAGAAACCAGUAUAUCGCACAUAAUCAACUAGGGUUUGAACAUUCAUGCGAAAAUUAGUUAAGAUGAUGAAGAAACAAUUAACGAAACACUGAGAACCUAGAAAAUCGUUGAAGAAAAGUUUGAUACGAAUUGUAGUUUAGAAAGAGUGAUUAAAAAUCGAAAUAAUCAAUUUAAAUAAGAGAUGUUUUGAAGGAAAACACUUAAUAAAAUUCGAAUCACCUCAGAUCAAUAAAGAUCUGAGAAGAAUCGACAGUAUCGAACUGUUUUCAGAAAAAUAGCAGAGGUGAAGAGAAUAGGUCAAGAACCCAUAGAUUCGUAAUAUAACAAGGAGGGAUCCUUACUUACGAACGGAAAAUGGCAUGAGACAGGAUGGUAAACAAAGUUUCAAACCAGAACCAGUUGGAGUUCCUUGUGAUCUUCUCAAGGACUCAUGAAGUCGAAGAGCCAUGGAGUAUAGAAGGCCAGGGGUGGUCGGAGAAGACAUAGAAGCACCAUAGGAGGGAGGUUUACGCCGGUGAUGGUGACUAGGGUUAGGGUUAGGUUGAGAGAGAGUUGAGAGAUGAGGGGAGACGAUGACAGCGGGUUUUGAGAGAAUGAA